rnacentral:rRNA from 1 species
GAUGAACGCUGGCGGCGUGCCUAAUACAUGCAAGUCGAGCGAACGGACGAGAAGCUUUCUUUUCUGAUGUUAGCGGCGGACGGGCGAGUAACACGUGGAUCACCUACCUCUAAGACUGGGAUAACUUCGGGAAACCGGAGCUACUACCGGAUCAUAUUUUGAACCGCAUGGUUCAAAAGUGAAAGACGGUCUUGCUGUCACUUAUAGAUGGAUCCGCGUUGCAUUAGCUAGUUGGUAAGGUAACGGCUUACCAAGGCAACGAUGCAUAGCUGACCUGAGAGGGUGAUCAGCCACACUGGAACUGAGACACGGUCCAGACUCCUACGGGAGGCAGCAGUAGGGAAUCUUCCGCAAUGGGCGAAAGCCUGACGGAGCAACGCCGCGUGAGUGAUGAAGGUCUUCGGGUCGUAAAACUCUGUUAUUAGGGAAGAACAUAUGUGUAAGUAACUGUGCACAUCUUGACGGUACCUAAUCAGAAAGCCACGGCUAACUACGUG